rnacentral:rRNA from 1 species
UACGAAGGGGCUAGCGUUGCUCGGAAUCACUGGGCGUAAAGGGUGCGUAGGCGGGUUUUAAGUCAGAGGUGAAAUCCUGGAGCUCAACUCCAGAACUGCCUUGAUACUGGUGAUCUUGAGUCCGGGAGAGGUGAGUGGAACUGCGAGUGUAGAGGUGAAAUUCGUAGAUAUUCGCAAGAACACCAGUGGCGAAGGCGGCUCACUGGCCCGGUACUGACGCUGAGGUG